UAGGCCAGUGUAUUUGUUUCAUUUUAUUAUGACAAUAUAGUUUUCGUUUUUUUUUUAAGACGAAAAUAAUUAGCUAAAAAAUUUACACCAUCGAAACUAUGAAACAAGUACGAGUAAGUUGAUGGUGCAACCAUGCUUAAAAACUUGAAUUUGCUAUGUAUCAGUUUAUCAAUUUAUACCAAACCUUACCUACAUUUAAGUUCGCUAUAUUUUUUUUACCAAUGUAAGACUUGUUAUCGCUCCCUAAUUGGUCUUAUAUUUUGACAAAAAAAAUAUACAUAAAUACUUAUAGCAUGUUUGCGUGAGAAAAGCAAUUAGAAACGCACAUUAAAACAGUCAAAAGUUUUUUUUUUUCUUUUUCAAUCAAAUAAAAAAUAAUUUGGAUAUUAUACGAAAUCAAUUAAGAACAAACAAAAACCCAGACGAAUAUUAUAUUUCUCCUGAACCGUUUUUGUUGUCUAACUAACCCACUUAUAUCUACAAAAAGUGGUGUCUAGUGAAGUGAGAAGUGAGUGUGUGUUGCUAAAAGGAGUGGUGGUAUAGUAUUUUGUAUCGUUAGAACGUGUUGUUAGAUUUUAAUAUCGACUCACUUGCGUUAAUAAUUCAAACUUCAAAAAGGUCAACACCAUAUACCUUAGUCUAGAGAAAGAAAGCAGGAGAAAAAAAGUUAACACUAUCAAAUGUUGCGUGAAGUGAAGAACACUUGAAGAAAAUAAAAAAAUCAGCACGUGUCCCUUUUUUGAAUCAUAGCAAAAUUCUUCUAUUUAAACAUGUCAACAUGUAUUUUUUUUAUAACAAUUAUUAUAUUUUCUAUUAUAAAGGAGUAUAAGUAUAACCUAGAAUUAUUCUAAUAGGAAAAUAUAAUGUCACCCAGAGUGCUACAACUACGACUAUAAGGACGAAAUAGAGCGUAGGAGGUACUUUACUUUCAGCUCAAGGAAAUGGCAAAUAACAUUCUACUUCUCACAUCAAACUUUUUUCCGAAAAUAAAAUUAAAGAGAUAUCAAAAGGCUGGUGAUGGUGAUACAUAUGCAUGCAAGGAGUUUCUAAUUAACAUUCGUGUGUUGGAAUUGGAACACGAUAGUUUUUUUUUGACACGAGCGUUGAAAGGCCAAUAAGUGGAGGAUAUUUGCCUGCAAAAAAAAAAAUGAAAAUGAUACAUGCAAGAAGUAAUUGUUGAAUACUUGGUGGCUGAUGUGCUAUUUAAUUUGGGAUUGUAAUAAAAAAUUAUUAAAGAUUUUGAUUUUGA